CGCCAGGGACAACACAUUUUGCAAAACGGGGAAUUAAAUGCCCGAACGUGACUGUAUUUUCGAUGCUCGAACUGUCUCCCACCCGUUUGCCACUUCCCGCAAUGAUGCCAGAGAUGUUAUUCACACGGUGGGACCCUUCGUGCAGGGGAGGGAGAGACUCCCGGACAAGGUGCUACAAAGCUGCUACGUAACAAGCCUGAAGCUCGCCAUCGACAAUAACCUGCGGACCAUUGCUUUCCACUG